rnacentral:lncRNA from 1 species
UCUGGGCAGAGAUAAGGGAACUCCUGCCAAACUCCUUUCCUGCUUGUUAGUGUCCACAAAUAUGUGCGUGGUUGCAAUUGAGCUUCUUUGAGGUCCUGUUCCAUGCCAGAGGCUGAUAAAAAAAAUGUGACCAUUUAGUUACAAAUGGAAAUCUCACAGCAUGUGAAGCAUAGCAACCAAGAGAGUCGCCCCCAACCGAUGAUGAGAAACCAACCUGAACCUCACGUCAAAGGGAAGGCGGAGUUAUCUUUCCAUUCUAUUUAUGAAAAAUUAUUUUCAUAGGAAGCAAUAAUCAAGGGGUAGCAGCCAAGAGAUAUAGUUUAAGUCUAUAUUUCAAGUCAAUUUUUGUAUAUGAUGUGAGAUGUAGAUCAG